rnacentral:lncRNA from 1 species
UCUGCUUCUUCCACUUGGUCCUGCGGUUCUGGAACCAAAUUUUGACCUGCGUCUCCGUGAGGCUGAGCGACAGCGCCAGGUUCAGGCGUUCGCACACCGACAGAUAGCGCGUGGCUCGAAACUUGUUCUCUAGGGCCACCAGCUGCUCGUAAGUGAAGGCAGUGCGCGCGCGCCUUGGCUUGGCGCAGCUGGACUCGGCUCGCCGGCGUCGGGGCCGCGGGGAACCGGGAGAGCCCGGGGACGCCGGGAGGCCUUCCGCGCCGCUCUCUUCCGUUCCCACCGCUACUGCCCGGGCCUCUGGAGUGUUAAUAGAGUUUCAGAUUUGUCCGGGGCCUGAUCGAUAGAUGUCAUCUAUUAAAGGGCAGCGAGACGCACCGGCGGGAGGGCAGCUCGCGUGAAUUUUUGCGGAUCCAAGAUGUCCAAGACAGAGAAGGAGAUCUUGUGGUGAGAGGGGGCCGCCUUGGCCCCGACGUCCUGCCAUGCCAACAUGCCCGCCUCCCGCGGGCCCGAGGCCAGCCGUACUGGGGUCGGGGCUGGAUGCGCUCAGCCGCUGUCUUCUGCAGUGGUUUGGCCACAGCUCUCCAGCCGCGAACUGGAAUUU